rnacentral:rRNA from 1 species
GAGUUUGAUCCUGGCUCAGGAUGAACGCUGACAGAAUGCUUAACACAUGCAAGUCGAUGGGGAAGUGGUGCUUGCACCAUGGCAACCAUGGCGGACGGGUGAGUAACGCGUAAGGGACUUACCUGCAGGACUGGGAUAACAGGGGGAAACUCCUGACAAGACCGGAUAAUGUCAUGGAGCUGCAUGGCUUUAUGAUGAAAGGAGACGCCUGCGGAGAGCCUUGCGUCCUAUUAGCUAGUUGGUGAGGUAAGGGCUCACCAAGGCGAAGAUAGGUAGCCGGCCUGAGAGGGUGGACGGCCACAAGGGGACUGAGAUACGGCCCUUACUCCUACGGGAGGCAGCAGUGGGGAAUAUUGGACAAUGGGGGCAACCCUGAUCCAGCAAUUCUGUGUGCACGAAGAAGGUUUUCGGAUUGUAAAGUGCUUUCAGCAGGGAAGAAGGAAGUGACGGUACCUGCAGAAGAAGCGACGGCUAAAUACGUGCCAGCAGCCGCGGUAAUACGUAUGUCGCGAGCGUUAUCCGGAAUUAUUGGGCAUAAAGGGCAUCUAGGCGGCCUGACAAGUCAGGGGUGAAAACCUGCGGCUCAACCGCAGGCCUGCCUUUGAAACUGUGAGGCUGGAGUACCGGAGAGGUGGACGGAACUGCACGAGUAGAGGUGAAAUUCGUAGAUAUGUGCAGGAAUGCCGAUGAUGAAGAUAGUUCACUGGACGGUAACUGACGCUGAAGUGCGAAAGCCGGGGGAGCAAACAGGAUUAGAUACCCUGGUAGUCCCGGCUGUAAACGAUGAUUACUGGGUGUGGGCAGGAAGACUGUCUGUGCCGAAGCGAAUGGGAUAAGUAAUCCGCCUGGGGAGUACGGCCGCAAGGCUGAAACUCAAAGGAAUUGACGGGGACCCGCACAAGCGGUGGAGCAUGUGGUUUAAUUCGACGCAACGCGAGGAACCUUACCAGAUCUUGACAUCCCGCGAAUGCCCGUGAAGACGGGCAGUGCCUUCGGGAACGCGGAGACAGGUGGUGCAUGGCUGUCGACAGCUCGUGUCGUGAGAUGUUGGGUUAAGUCCCGCAACGAGCGCAACCCCUUUCGUAUGUUACCAUCAUUAAGUUGGGGACUCAUGCGAUACUGCCUGCGAUGAGCAGGAGGAAGGUGGGGAUGACGUCAAGUCAUCAUGCCCCUUAUACGCUGGGCUACACACGUGCUACAAUGGGUAGUACAGAGAGUCGCAAAGUCGUAAGGCGGAGCAAACCUGAAAAAAGCAGUCCAAGUUCGGAUUGUGGGCUGAAACUCGCCCACAUGAAGUCGGAGUUACUAGUAAUCGCGAACCAGAAUGUCGCGGUGAAUGCGUUCCCGGGUCUUGUACACACCGCCCGUC